UACGUAGGUGGCGAGCGUUGUCCGGAUUUAUUGGGUUUAAAGGGUGCGUAGGCGGUCCUAUAAGUCAGUGGUGAAAUAUCGCAGCUUAACUGUGAGGGUGCCAUUGAUACUGUAGGGCUUGAGUGAAUUUGAGGUAGGCGGAAUUGACGGUGUAGCGGUGAAAUGCUUAGAUAUCGUCAAGAACACCGAUAGUGAAGACAGCUUACCAAGCUUCAACUGACGCUGAGGCACGAAAGUGUGGGGAUCAAACAGG
rnacentral:rRNA from 1 species